CCGAGUUGCUGUAGACCGUGGGCCGGGAGCAGUGGCAGCACUGGCAGGUGAUUGGGGCCCUUGGGAGCCAGCUCCACUCCCACCAUGCAGCACUGGAGCCCUGCCUGCCACCCAAGGCCAAGGAUUCCUGGCCAGCUGCAAGGCGACCAGAUGCCCCCUGGGGGACCUGUGACCUCUGCUGUGCCUGGUGGUUACCGUCCUGGGUCUAAGAGGUUUCUCCUGCCUUGGGAUAUCACCAUCACCCCAGAGUCAGCAGAAGGGAAGGGAAGAGAAGGGAAGGAAGAGGAAAGGUGGAGGAGGCAUCCCUUCUUACGUGUAUAUAUUUAUCCAAUAUUUAUCUGCUUAAGCCCUGGCAUUCUGGGGAGGAAACAAAGGCAGUGGUACCCAGACUUUGUCUUCAAAGUUCCCAUCAUGCUGGCCAUAGCGGCUCAUGCCUGCAAUCCCAACACUCGGGAGACUGAGACAGGAGGAUUGAUGUAAAAGUGAGUUCAAGCAGCCUGAACUGCAUAGUGAGACACUGUCUUAAUAAGAAAAAAAAAAGCCUGUGCACAUCCCUUGGCACCGCAUAUCUGCCCUUCCGCCCAGGAACUCACUUCCCGGAGGGAACCUGGGGUCAACCCAGGUUUCUGAGGAAAAGUGUUAUAGCUUUCAGGGUUCAGACCCCAGAAAGGGCUGAGAGAAGCUCUGCCUAUCUUUACUUAUUUUUUAAUUUAUUAAUUAUUUAUUACUUUUAUUUUUGUUUGUCUUUUUGAGACCGGGUCUCACUAUGGGAUUCAGGCUGGUUUUGGGCUCACUUUGUAGCCCAGACUGGUCUCGAACUUGCAGCAGUCUGUCUACCUCAGCCUCCCAAGUGCUGGGAUUAUAGGAGUGAGCCACCAGGCCCAGCUGCUCUGCCUGUCUUUAUGUGUGUCCCUGGCACCAAGUGUCUGACAGCACACUCACUAGCGGGUUAUCUGUGACUGUCUCUCCCAGUGGGAUUUAAUAUGUUUUUUCAUUCUUCUUUUUAUUUUUUGAUACUUUUAAAUCAUACAGUAGCUUUUGAAAAAUAGCAGAUUUACUAAUUCACGCACCAUAAAAUUCAUCCUCCCCUUUAUCUGGUACUCAAGAUAAAUGCAGGUCCUCACACAUGCUAGGCAAGCGCUGCACCACAGAGCUAUACUCCUGGCCCCAAAUUCAUCCCUUUAAAUUGUACAAGCCAGGUGUGGUGGCACACAUCUGUGAUGCCAGGGCUUGAGAGACUGAAGCAGAUCACGAGAAAUUUAAGGCCAAUGUGUGCUACAUAGUGAGACUGUCUCAACCCCACCCCCAAAUUUACAAGAACCUGGUAGGCUUUGAGUUUGGUGUAGAGGCAGGAAAAUUCCCCAUAUGAAUGAAUAAAGAAAUUGUGGUAUUUAUAUAAAAUGCAGUAUUACUGUCAUAAAAAUGAUAAUUUUAGUCAUUUGUAGGAAAAUGGAUGCAAUUUGAGGCCAUGAUAUUAAGUAAAAUAAAAAGAGUUAAGAGUUAAGAGUGUAAAAAGAGUUAAGA
rnacentral:lncRNA from 1 species